rnacentral:rRNA from 1 species
GAGUUUGAUCGUGGCUCAGGACGAACGCUGGCGGCGUGCUUAACACAUGCAAGUCGAACGAGAAUCUACUGAAAGAGUUUUCGGACAAUGGAAGUAGAGGAAAGUGGCGGACGGGUGAGUAACGCGUGAGGAACCUGCCUUGAAGAGGGGGACAACAGUUGGAAACGACUGCUAAUACCGCAUGAUGCAUAAGGGUCGCAUGAUUCUUAUGCCAAAGAUUUAUCGCUUCAAGAUGGCCUCGCGUCUGAUUAGCUAGUUGGCGGGGUAACGGCCCACCAAGGCGACGAUCAGUAGCCGGACUGAGAGGUUGAACGGCCACAUUGGGACUGAGAUACGGCCCAGACUCCUACGGGAGGCAGCAGUGGGGAAUAUUGGGCAAUGGGCGCAAGCCUGACCCAGCAACGCCGCGUGAAGGAAGAAGGCUUUCGGUAUGUAAACUUCUAUCAGCAGGGAAGAAAAGUGACGGUACCUGACUAAGAAGCCCGGCUAACUACGUGCCAGCAGCCGCCGCGGUAAU